rnacentral:rRNA from 1 species
GACAGAGGGGGCAAGCGUUAUUCGGAAUUACUGGGCGUAAAGCGCACGUAGGCGGCUUUGUAAGUUAGAGGUGAAAGCCCAGAGCUCAACUCUGGAACUGCCUUUAAGACUGCAUCGCUUGAAUCCAGGAGAGGUGAGUGGAAUUCCGAGUGUAGAGGUGAAAUUCGUAGAUAUUCGGAAGAACACCAGUGGCGAAGGCGGCUCACUGGACUGGUAUUGACGCUGAGGUGCGAAAGCGUGGGGAGCAAACAGG